UCAGAUGAACGCUAGCUACAGGCUUACACAUGCAAGUCGAGGGGCAUCAGUUUGGUUUGCUUGCAAACCAAAGCUGGCGACCGGCGCACGGGUGAGUAACACGUAUCCAACCUGCCUCAUACUCGGGGAUAGCCUUUCGAAAGAAAGAUUAAUAUCCGAUAGCAUAUAUUUCCCGCAUGGGUUUUAUAUUAAAGAAAUUCGGUAUGAGAUGGGGAUGCGUUCCAUUAGUUUGUUGGGGGGGUAACGGCCCACCAAGACUACGAUGGAUAGGGGUUCUGAGAGGAAGGUCCCCCACAUUGGAACUGAGACACGGUCCAAACUCCUACGGGAGGCAGCAGUGAGGAAUAUUGGUCAAUGGACGCGAGUCUGAACCAGCCAAGUAGCGUGAAGGAUGACUGCCCUAUGGGUUGUAAACUUCUUUUAUAUGGGAAUAAAGUUGUCCACGUGUGGAUUUUUGUAUGUACCAUAUGAAUAAGGAUCGGCUAACUCCGUGCCAGCAGCCGCGGUAAUACGGAGGAUCCGAGCGUUAUCCGGAUUUAUUGGGUUUAAAGGGAGCGUAGGCGGAUUGUUAAGUCAGUUGUGAAAGUUUGCGGCUCAACCGUAAAAUUGCAGUUGAUACUGGCAGUCUUGAGUGCAGUAGAGGUGGGCGGAAUUCGUGGUGUAGCGGUGAAAUGCUUAGAUAUCACGAAGAACUCCGAUUGCGAAGGCAGCUCACUGGAGUGUAACUGACGCUGAUGCUCGAAAGUGUGGGUAUCAACAGGAUA
rnacentral:rRNA from 1 species